rnacentral:rRNA from 1 species
UUUAUGGAGAGUUUGAUCCUGGCUCAGGAUGAACGCUGGCGGCGUGCCUAAUACAUGCAAGUCGAGCGAACAGAUAAGGAGCUUGCUCCUUUGACGUUAGCGGCGGACGGGUGAGUAACACGUGGGUAACCUACCUAUAAGACUGGAAUAACUCCGGGAAACCGGGGCUAAUGCCGGAUAACAUGUUGAACCGCAUGGUUCUACAGUGAAAGACGGUCUUGCUGUCACUUAUAGAUGGACCCGCGCCGUAUUAGCUAGUUGGUGGGGUAACGGCCUACCAAGGCGACGAUACGUAGCCGACCUGAGAGGGUGAUCGGCCACACUGGAACUGAGACAC